GCUGCAUCCAUUUCAACUCGAGAGCAUUGCCUUUCCAUAGGCUGAUUAUGAAAUUGGUAUGCUUGAUAGAUGUAUUUGAGCUAGAUUCGUGUUUGCAAACUCAUCAAGGGAGCAGAAGAAAAAAAACAUUUUAAAAACGGUUCCCGUUACAGACAUUGACGAUUCACUACAUUACUAAAUCCUGAGCCAAAUAUUGUUUUAAAGAUUCUCUUUGGCAAGGUUCUCCUGGGAUACAAAAAUAUCUGGAGCGGGAUGGGCUACUAUUUGGGGUCCUUCCUGGGUCCUUGAUUUCCAUGGUAACAUUGUUGUUAACGUAACAAUGCAUCCGGGUCCCUGAAGCUACUAGCUAGCCGAAUGGAAGAGGGACGACGUGUUAUUGCAGUAAUGUAUUCGCUAACUAGCGCCCCUGUUUGCUUCAUCUAACGUUAAACAUUCGAUUACCACAUUUGUCGUCGUUUGAACGGAAAGUGGCCUCUAAUUUAGCUUGCUAGCUCACUCAGAUAGUUCAGCGAUUUAUCUAGCUAUGAUGCUAACUAAUCAUAAUAAUUAAUGUUUUUAGCUAACUAUCUAAUUGUAGUAGUUUCCAUAUCUUUUUUAUUUUUUUUUUAUUUAUAGUAGUUUCCAUAUCACUUCUCAGACUAUCAACAACAUGACCCCGAAAAAAGAAAUGAGCGGCAAGUGGCAAUUGGAGGUCCUGGCUCAUCAGUAGAGUCUAGCAUCAAACAGAGUUGGCUCAACCUGGCCUGUCCAUGUCUCCACUCAAGUUGUUCAGCAGGGGAGGAGACAGUACUUCAGGUGGAGAGAUCAGGAACCAUGGAUGCGGUGAUGAGUUUUGUGGCCCUGUGGGGAAGCGACGAUUCUGGAGCAGCUUGAAAGCUACCUGUAGAGGGAGCUGCAGGCUCUUGACCCACUUCUGCCAAAAGUCAAACUUCACGUCCCAUCCAUCUGCCCUUUAAUUUAUACAUCUUAUCCAUACAUUUUCAUGGUAUUUACAUGGUAUUUACCUAACUACAAUAAGGAGUACAGCCUAUAACUUGGUUGUCAAGUCACAAAAUCUGCCCUCUGUCAUAUACUGUACAAGCCGCUAUAGUCUUACAUACUUUUUUUAAUGAAAUCACAUUUGGUGUGUAGCAUUGCAGCAUGGAGUGUUUGUGAUUGUGGCAUAUAGGCCUAUAGUGUUAUGGUAAAUGUGAGCCUGGACAGCACAACAAGGAUGAGUGCAAGUAUGAGAUGGGCUUACAUAUUUCAUGCUUAUAGGAUGUUGGAUUUGAUUUGACUGUAAUGUCUAUUUCUGCAGCAUACCUAUGGGACUAGAUCCGUGAGCUAGUGCCCUCCGUGCUCAUCUGGUUCUGGUCUCAGAGCAAUGUGAGAAGGGGACCAAAUCACAUUUUAUUGGUUGCGUACACAUUUUUUUGAUGUUAUCAUGGGUGUAGCAAAAUACUUAUGUUCUUAGCUCCAACAGUGCAGUAAUACCUAACAAUGCAAAACAAUACACACAAAUAAAAAAAGGGAAACAUUUUAAUAUUACAACGAGCAAUGUCAGAGUCCGGAAUAUAACUAGAUAUGUAUAUAUGAUGGUGUGUAUAGACAUUAUGGACAGUAUAUGAAUAGAAACGGUGUGUACAGCAGUAGUUAUAUAGGAUGAGCUUUGAAUAG